UAUUAAAUGCAUUUAUGGAUUACGUUGGUUACAUGAAGCAUUAGAUUGUAAGAAUGUAAGAGACUGUUCCUAUUUAGUAACUUAACAUCGACAAGCAGUUCGUUUAUAAUUGUUCUUUUUUCUCCUUGUCUACUACAGAAUCUUCUGUGUAGCAGUCCAAUGCAUAUUCAAUAUCUCAGAGCGUUUUAAAAUCAUAAUCAUACCUCUUUUGACUCUUAAGAAAAAAUCAAUUAUAGGCCACUGAGGGCUUGUAAUACAUUUUGUCUGUUUUUCUAACUUAGUUGCUUCUAUGCUGAAUUGGUAAACUCCUGUUUUGUUUUGUUUUUGCUCCAGAAUCAAACAGGCUGUUCUUGCUAGCCUGCCAUAUUCUAAAUCAGAUUGUUCUAAUGAAACAAUUGACUAUAAUGGAACAGUUCUUCAUGUCUUUCUGAAAUAAUAUAACACUGGUAUUGAUUAUCUGGUGGCUGGUUUUUUGGAUAUCCAUAUGCAGAUAAAUACUGAAGGAGAUGAAAUGUGGCUGAGAAUGUGCAGAACUAUUGCAAAAUCAUAAAUCAAAAAACGCCUGAACCUUGAGUGGAAGUGGUCCAGAUAAUCAUCAACCUUCUUCAAAAAGGAAAGGUUAGAGAUAGAACAAAAAAUAACCCAAUAUGGUGGAGUCUAGAAAUGGUCUUUUAAGAAGAGGGCAGACUACAGCCUCCUUAAAAGACUGGGGCACUAUCCCCUCUCAUGAGGAAGUAUUAAUCACUCCCAGAAUCCAACCACGUCACCUCCCAGGAAGCUUUCACAAGCCAGGAUGGGCAUGGAUCUAAAACACAAGUGCUUGCACUCAUAUUCAGGAGCAACAGGGCCAAACCAUUCCCAGAUAACUGGGCAAAAAAACUGCCCAGGUACCUUCACAGGAGCAACAACUACUCUGAUAUUUAACUUGGAAUAAAUCCGAACAAAUUUGUCUUCCAGAAAAUUUUGCUUACCUUAAAUCGUACACAGAAUUGUUUCAGAAAGUAUUUUUUACAUUUUUGUGCCAUUCUAUUUUUUAAAAAAAAUUAUUAACUAUAAUAUAUUUCAUAUAUGUUAUCCUAUCAAAUAAAGUCAACUUUUCAUU